rnacentral:tRNA from 1 species
GGGGGUGUAGCUCAGUUGGGAGAGCAUCCCGUUUGCAACGGGAAGGUCAUCGGUUCGAUCCCGUUCACCUCCACCA